ACUGCUCAGUAACACGUAGCUAAAUCUAACCUUAGGUCAGGGAUACCCUCGGGAAACUGAGGAUAAUACCUGAUAGAAAAUGUUUUCUGGAAUGAGAUAUUUUUCAAAUUCGAGCCUAAGGGUGAGGCUGCGGCUGAUUAGCUAGUUGUUGGUGUAAUAGACUAACAAGGCAAUGAUCAGUAAGGGCUCUUAGCGGAGGGGCCCUGAGAAGGAAUCUGAGACACUAUUCCUAGCCCUACGGGGUGCAGCAGUCGAGGAAAUUUUGCAAUGCGCGCAAGCGUGACAAGGUGAGUCAGAGUGUUUCUCUUAGAGAAACUUUUCUCUGUUGUAAAAAGACAGAGGAAUAAGGACUGGGCAAGACCGGUGCCAGCCGCCGCGGUAAUCCCGGCGGUCCAAGUCGUAUCCACAAUUAUUGGGUCUAAAACAUUCGUAGCUAGCAUUACAAGUCUCUUGUGAAAUUCUAUACCUUAAGUAUAGAGCGUGCAAGAGAUACUGUUCUGCUCGAGACCGGAAGACGCAAAGAGUAUGAUUGAGGUAACGGUAAAAUGUGUUAAUCUCAAUCAGACUAACAACAGCGAAGGCACUUUGCGAGUACGGAUCUGACAGUGAGGAAUGAAGGCUAGGGGCGCAAAAGGGAUUAGAUACCCCUGUAGUCCUAGCAGUAAACACUGCACACUAAACAUUAGUACCUCCUCGAGAGGUAUUAGUGCUGUAGAGAAGUCGAAGAGUGUGCUACCUGGGAAGUAUAGUCGCAAGGCCGAAACUUAAAGGAAUUGGCGGGGGAGCA
rnacentral:rRNA from 1 species